rnacentral:rRNA from 1 species
GACGAACGCUGGGGCGUGCUUAACACCUGCAAGUCGCACGGAAAGGCCCUGCUUGCAGGGUGCUCGAGUGGCGAACGGGUGAGUAACACGUGGGUGAUCUGCCCCUUACUUUGGGAUAAGCCUGGGAAACUGGGUCUAAUACUGGAUAGGACCAUGCUGUAGGUGGUGUGGUGGAAAGAUUAGUUUCGGUAAGGGAUGAGCUCGCGGCCUAUCAGCUUGUUGGUGGGGUAAUGGCCUACCAAGGCGUCGACGGGUAGCCGGCCUGAGAGGGUGGACGGCCACAUUGGGACUGAGAUACGGCCCAGACUCCUACGGGAGGCAGCAGUGGGGAAUAUUGCACAAUGGGCGCAAGCCUGAUGCAGCGACGCCGCGUGGGGGAUGACGGCCCUCGGGUUGUAAACUCCUUUCAGCCAUGACGAAGCCCUUGUGGUGACGGUAGUGGUAGAAGAAGCACCGGCUAACUACGUG